GUGGGGAAUAUUGGACAAUGGGGGGAACCCUGAUCCAGCCAUGCCGCGUGUGUGAAGAAGGCCUUUUGGUUGUAAAGCACUUUAAGCGAGGAGGAGGCUACCGAGAUUAAUACUCUUGGAUAGUGGACGUUACUCGCAGAAUAAGCACCGGCUAACUCUGUGCCAGCAGCCGCGGUAAUACAGAGGGUGCAAGCGUUAAUCGGAUUUACUGGGCGUAAAGCGCGCGUAGGUGGCCAAUUAAGUCAAAGGUGAAAUCCCCGAGCUUAACUUGGGAAUUGCAUUCGAUACUGGUUGGCUAGAGUAUGGGAGAGGAUGGUAGAAUUCCAGGUGUAGCGGUGAAAUGCGUAGAGAUCUGGAGGAAUACCGAUGGCGAAGGCAGCCAUCUGGCCUAAUACUGACACUGAGGUGCGAAAGCAUGGGGAGCAAACAGGAUUAGAAACCCGUGUAGUCC
rnacentral:rRNA from 1 species